AUACUUUUUUCUCAUUGUCAUGAAUUUGAAAUAGUUAUACAUGUAUGUACAGAUUUGAUUCUUAUUCCUUCACUGACACAUUAUCAUCCAGAGGCCCCUCGAUUUGGAUGGAGUCAUGCAGGGUACUUUUAUUAAGUUAGUGAAAUUUCUGCACAGCAUAUUCAUAUAUUUACACCCAUUAAAGUUUUCUUCCUUUAUUUCUUAUAAAACCACUGCUUUUGAUCUCUACAUAAACCAGUCACUAUUCCUUACACAGACAUUCGGGUCUCAAAGAAAUCUGCCCGCGUAUUAAUAUACACAUUCUUUGGACUACUUUUUAAAAGUAAUCCAAAUGUAAACAUACGUAUUUUUACCGUGCUUAUUAUUGUGUCAGUCGAAAUUUUAAUAAAUUGUGAAAAAUAAAUCUUCAAUUUGUUGCAAUUUUUGUUUCAUUUCAUUUCAAACAUAACUGUAAACACAAUUGUCUGCAAAUGUCAUGUAUAUUUCCAUACAAUGGAUAGUUUUCCUAAGAGCCAGCAUCAGUUUGAUCACUUUGAUUUUGGUGAAAAAGAAAUGGAGUUUGAUGAAUUGUAUUUUCAGACAACUAAUUUUCAACACUUAAACAUGUUAUGCAGUAGUCAAUUAGACGAUAUCACAGAAAACCAGUAUCUCUGCCUUAUCUGACCUCCUCAAGCCUGAGACUCCUGCCACCCCUCUCAACGUGUUCAAAACAGGCAAUAGAUUUAAAGAAAGUACAGACGACGAAGUGAACAGGUUGUUUGAAGCUCGCCAAACUCCCGGGACCAAGAAAAACACUAACUGGGGAUGUGUUCUAUACCUCAGUGUGGUUCCCAAGAGACAGCCGUCCAGUAGCAGUGAUUGACUUUAUCCAAAUGCUCUUCUAGUGGUAGCCCCGGUAGUGUUAUCAUGAAUGUACUGACGGGUGGAUCAGGUUAUAUCAGUGGCGGACCAGGGUUCAGUUCUGUCGGAGGUGGUGGAUCCAGGGGAGGAGGUGGAAGGACACCUUAUGGAAUCAGUGGCGGAUCAACUGUUUACAGCAACGGGCGCGUGGUUGGAAUGAGCGGCAGCGGAAGUGGUAAGAUCUAGGAGGUUUUGACUGGCCUAAUCAAAGAACUUUAUUCGGUUAUAACCAAUAUUUGCCCCCCAAAUCAAACUUUGAUGGAGGUAUAUAUAAUUAAGUUCUUAAAUAGGGGAGUAUAUGCUGACUUCAAAGCACUGAAUAUUUUCAUAAGUAAUGACGUCAUAUGUACGUAAUGACGUCACAAACAUGACGUAAAUUUCAUUUUUUUUAUGAAUUCUACAGAAAAAUGUACAUAUUUCGACGAUAAUUUGAGUAAAAGUCACCGAGCGCAUGUGUGUACAGGAUCAAUAUUUUGAUAUAAUGUGUAGAAUGAUAAUAUAAAUGAAAUAUGUAAAUAUUGUUCCUGAACAAACUUGCGCUCUAUAAAUUUUAAAGCUAAAAUUGUUGAAAUUUUGUCCAUUUGGUCCUCUUUCUGAAAAAGGAUAUAAAAUCGGACUAGUUUGUGACGUCAUAAAAGCAAAAAUUGUGAAUA